rnacentral:rRNA from 1 species
AACGAACGCUGGCGGCAGGCUUAACACAUGCAAGUCGAGCGCGCCUUCGGGUUCGCGGCGGACGGGUGAGUAACGCGUGGGAAUGUGCCCUUCUCUACGGAAUAGUCUGGGGAAACUGGGGGUAAUACCGUAUACGCCCUUUGGGGGUAAGAUUUAUCGGGGAAGGAUUAGCCCGCGUUGGAUUAGGUAGUUGGUGGGGUAAUGGCCUACCAAGCCGACGAUCCAUAGCUGUUUUGAGAGGAUGAUCAGCCACACUGGGACUGAGACACGGCCCAGACUCCUACGGGAGGCAGCAGUGGGGAAUCUUAGACAAUGGGGGCAACCCUGAUCUAGCCAUGCCGCGUGAGAGAUGAAGGCCUUAGGGUUGUAAAGCUCUUUCAGCUGGGAAGAUAAUGACGGUACCAGCAGAAGAAGCCCCGGCUAACUCCGUG